GUGUCAGCAGCCGCGGUAAGACGAACCGUGCGAACGUUGUUCGGAAUCACUGGGCUUAAAGGGCGCGUAGGCGGGUUCUCAAGUCAGGGGUGAAAUCUUUCGGCUUAACCGGAAAAGUGCCCCUGAUACUGAGAGUCUCGAGGGAGGUAGGGGCAUGUGGAACUAAUGGUGGAGCGGUGAAAUGCGUAGAUAUCAUUAGGAACGCCGGUGGCGAAAGCGACGUGCUGGACCUCUUCUGACGCUGAGGCGCGAAAGCUAGGGGAGCAAACGGGAUUAGAAACCCGUGUAGUCC
rnacentral:rRNA from 1 species